GACGAACGCUGGCGGCGUGCUUAACACAUGCAAGUCGAACGGUGAAGGGACCAGCUUGCUGGUUCUGGAUGAGUGGCGAACGGGUGAGUAACACGUGAGUAACCUGCCCCCUUCUUCUGGAUAACCGCAUGAAAGUGUGGCUAAUACGGGAUAUUCUGGGUCUGUCGCAUGGCGGGCCCGGGAAAGAUAUUGCUUCGGUGGGGGAUGGGCUCGCGGCCUAUCAGCUUGUUGGUGGGGUGAUGGCCUACCAAGGCGGUGACGGGUAGCCGGCCUGAGAGGGUGGACGGUCACACUGGGACUGAGACACGGCCCAGACUCCUACGGGAGGCAGCAGUGGGGAAUAUUGCACAAUGGGCGCAAGCCUGAUGCAGCGACGCCGCGUGAGGGAUGGAGGCCUUCGGGUUGUAAACCUCUUUCGCCAGUGAAGCAGGCCUGCUCCUUGUGCGUGGGUUGACGGUAGCUGGAUAAGAAGCGCCGGCUAACUACGUG
rnacentral:rRNA from 1 species